rnacentral:ribozyme from 1 species
UUUUUUUUUUUUUUUUUUUUUUUUCCUUC